UACGUAGGGUGCGAGCGUUGUCCGGAAUUAUUGGGCGUAAAGGGCUCGUAGGCGGUUUGUCGCGUUGUUCGUGAAAACUCACAGCUUAACUGUGGGCGUGCGGGCGAUACGGGCAGACUUGAGUACUGCAGGGGAGACUGGAAUUCCUGGUGUAGCGGUGGAAUGCGCAGAUAUCAGGAGGAACACCGGUGGCGAAGGCGGGUCUCUGGGCAGUAACUGACGCUGAGGAGCGAAAGCGUGGGGAGCGAACAGG
rnacentral:rRNA from 1 species